rnacentral:lncRNA from 1 species
AGCCUUGGGAGCUCAGACAUGCUUUUCUGGAUGAGUGGCUUAUGCAAGGGCUCAGGAACUUCACGUCGUUUAGCAUAAAUUGGAGCACAUUGUACUGGAGAGAAGGAGGAUGACAGAAGAUAACAAGCAAACUGUACAGCGAGUUUGUGGCUACUUAGAAGAUAAAAAGGAAAGUCCAACUGAGGUUACAACAGGCAUUGAUUAGCGGUGGUAAUUUGGGAUCUCCUAAAGGCACGUGGAAAUGGUUAUGGAGUUCUGUUGUGGGUGAAGGUCAAAACUCACCAGUGAAGCUCCAUCAUUAAAUAACCACAAAUGUCUGGUUUUGUUGUUUUUUUUCUUCAAUUUGACUGCUAUCAAGAUCUGAUGAUGAGGAAAACUGGUUCAGAGUGUUGCCUGAAGGAGAGACACUUCUUGAACCUAAAGCAACUUUCCUCUUACCACGGUCCAAGCAUGCAGUUUAUCAAAGCGGGAGUGUCUACUUACUGUUGGAGCCAUUCUUGGACCUUCCUCUACGACUCCUCAUGA